AUUAAGUACCUUUUCAUUUUUAAAAAUAAAAAAAUAUGUUAAUUACUUGUGAACGUUCCUCGUUACGUCGAAUGAGACGCGAAGCGUAAACGUCUAGUUAACACGCGCGCGUGAACCUCGCGAGUCUAAGGUAGCAACCUUGAAACUGGGCACCACCUCCACCACCUUCAUCACUUCCAUCAUACCACUAUCUCUCGUACGACGAGCAAACGGUCGACAGCCGGUAGCAGCGCGUCGGAAGAAACAGCGACGGGUUCAGCGAGCGACGGUGCGGCAGCAACGAAUAGUAGAAUAAGAGGAAGGGCGAGCGCCGGGAGGGUAGGAGAGACAGGGGAUUACGGUGUUGGCGGAACGAAAGAAAGAAGAAUUCCUCCCGACGCGCGCGGGCUACACGCGCCCUUUCCUUUUCCCGCGGCUCUCCCUCUCCUCCUUCUCACCCUCCCUUUCCGCGUCCGGCUUUCAGCUGUGUGCUGCUCUCGCUCGGGGAGCAAACCGGAUUCGCAAUAAAACGAAUCCAUCUCGAAAUGCGCGGGACCAAUGAGAGGAUCUAACAUACAACGUUCAAACUGGAUCUCAGUCUUUCCAUUUCUCGCACCGUGUUCUCUUUCUCUUUCCUCUUCCCGCCCGCACCGUCCGACAUCCGAGUUAUCUCUUAACGUCUCACGUUACUCCUCCCUUCGUCUUUCCUGAAAGACUUGCCCUUCCUUUCGCUCGUUGACCCGAGUGAAAGGGAAGGUUGAAAGUAGGGAUGACUAAACCUAGUCGAGUUGUGAGAGAGGUGUAAGUACGAUAGUUGCCCGAUCGUUUGCCCGAGCAAGAAGAAACACAGAAGACGUAAAGAAAAGAUUCAAGAAGAUGACCAACACAAAGACGAGAUGCAAAUAUAAUAAGAAGUACAACAAUAUUGCAAGCCAAUGUAAAAGAGGAAAGGUAAAUCGAGAUCGAUGAACUGACAUUAAAAAGAGGUUUAAAGCAUCAUAAUAAUGAAGUAGAAAAAAAAUGGACAAGGGAAAGAAAAUGUGGAGCCAGGACGUAGGAGGAGCAACACUUUACCAAUGAAUUGGAAGGAAAAAGGUAUAUAGAAACAGGAAAAGAAACGAGGGCGGAGUAAAAAUCGAACGCACGAUAUGGACCUACCUACUGAUGGACUGAAAAAA